rnacentral:rRNA from 1 species
GUAUGAUAGAGGAAAGCAGAAUUUCUAGUGUAGAGGUGAAAUUCGUAGAUAUUAGAAAGAAUACCAAUUGCGAAGGCAGCUUUCUGGAUCAUUACUGACACUGAGGAACGAAAGCAUGGGUAGCGAAGAGGAUUAGAUACCCUCGUAGUCCAUGCCGUAAACGAUGUGUGUUAGACGUUGGAAAUUUAUUUUCAGUGUCGCAGCGAAAGCGAUAAACACACCGCCUGGGGAGUACGACCGCAAGGUUAAAACUCAAAUGAAUUGACGGGGACCCGCACAAGUAGUGGAGCAUGUGGUUUAAUUCGAAGAUACGCGCAGAACCUUACCAACACUUGACAUGUUCGUCGCGACUCUAAGAGAUUAGAGUUUUCGGUUCGGCCGGACGAAACACAGGUGCUGCAUGGCUGUCGUCAGCUCGUGUCGUGAGAUGUUGGGUUAAGUCCCGCAACGAGCGCAACCCUCACUUUUAGUUGCCAUCAUUAAGUUGGGCACUCUGAAAGAACUGCCAGUGAUAAGCUGGAGGAAGGUGGGGAUGACGUCAAGUCCUCAUGGCCCUUACGUGUUGGGCUACACACGUGCUACAAUGGUAUCUACAACAGGAAGCAAGACUGCGAAGUUAAGCAAAUCCCUAAAAGAUACCUCAGUUCGGAUUGCACUCUGCAACUCGAGUGCAUGAAGCUGGAAUUACUAGUAAUCGUGGAUCAGCGUGCCACGGUGAAUGCGUUCCCGGGUCUUGUACACACCGCCCGUCACACCAUGGGAGUUGGUUCUACCUUAAGGCAAGGUUUAAAACCCUUGACCACGGUAUAGUCAGCGACUGGGGUGAAGUCGUAACAAGGUAGCCGUAGGGGAACCUGCGGCUG